rnacentral:rRNA from 1 species
UGAUCCUGGCUCAGAUUGAACGCUGGCGGUAGGCUUAACACAUGCAAGUCGUGCGAGAAAGUAUCUUCGGAUAUGAGUAGAGCGGCGGACGGGUGAGUAACGCGUAGGAAUCUACCUAGUAGAAGGGGAUAGCCCGGGGAAACUCGGAUUAAUACCGUAUACCUCCUUCGGGAGAAAGAAGGCCUCUCUUUGAAGCUUUCGCUACUAGAUGAGCCUGCGUAAGAUUAGCUUGUUGGUGAGGUAAAGGCUCACCAAGGCGACGAUCUUUAGCGGGUCUGAGAGGACGAUCCGCCACAUUGGGACUGAGACACGGCCCAGACUCCUACGGGAGGCAGCAGUGGGGAAUAUUGGACAAUGGGCGCAAGCCUGAUCCAGCCAUACCGCGUGUGUGAAGAAGGCCCUAGGGUUGUAAAGCACUUUAAGUUGGGAAGAAAAGUUAUUGGUUAAUACCCAAUGACCGUGACAUUACCAUCAGAAUAAGGACCGGCUAAUUCCGUGCCAGCAGCCGCGGUAAUACGGAAGGUCCAAGCGUUAAUCGGAAUUACUGGGCGUAAAGCGCGCGUAGGUGGUUUAUUAAGUUGGAUGUGAAAUCCCCGGGCUCAACCUGGGAACUGCAUCCAAAACUGAUUCACUAGAGUACGAUAGAGGGAGGUAGAAUUCACAGUGUAGCGGUGGAAUGCGUAGAUAUUGUGAAGAAUACCAAUGGCGAAGGCAGCCUCCUGGAUCUGUACUGACACUGAGGUGCGAAAGCGUGGGUAGCGAACAGGAUUAGAUACCCUGGUAGU